rnacentral:rRNA from 1 species
GAUGAACGCUGGCGGCGUGCCUAAUACAUGCAAGUCGAACGCGAGAGGAGGGAGCUUGCUCCCUCUGAUCGAGUGGCGGACGGGUGAGUAACACGUAAGCAACCUGCCCAUCAGCCGGGGAUAACUGCGGGAAACCGUGGCUAAUACCGGAUAAUCCUCCCAGCCGCGGGGUGGGGAGUUGAAAGACGGUUUCGGCUAUCGCUGAUGGAGUGGCCUGCGGCGCAUUAGCUGGUUGGCGGGGUAACGGCCCACCAAGGCAACGAUGCGUAGCCGACCUGAGAGGGUGAUCGGCCACACUGGGACUGAGACACGGCCCAGACUCCUACGGGAGGCAGCAGUAGGGAAUCUUCCGCAAUGGACGCAAGUCUGACGGAGCAACGCCGCGUGAGUGAAGAAGGGUCUCGGCUCGUAAAACUCUGUUGUUAAGGAAGAACGCCAGGUAGAGUAACUGCUACCUGUGUGACGGUACUUAACCAGAAAGCCACGGCUAACUACGUGCCAGCCGCCGCCGUAA